rnacentral:rRNA from 1 species
UACAGAGGUCCCGAGCGUUGUUCGGAUUCACUGGGCGUAAAGGGUGCGUAGGUGGCAUGGUAAGUUUGAUGUGAAAGCUCAGGGCUUAACCCUGAAAUGGCAUUGAAUACUACUGUGCUCGAGGGUUGGAGGGGGGACUGGAAUGCUUGGUGUAGCAGUGAAAUGCGUAGAUAUCAAGCGGAACACCGGUGGCGAAGGCGGGUCUCUGGGCAGUAACUGACGCUGAGGAGCGAAAGCGUGGGGAGCGAACAGG